rnacentral:rRNA from 1 species
UUUUUAUGGAGAGUUUGAUCCUGGCUCAGGAUGAACGCUGGCGGCGUGCCUAAUACAUGACAGUCGAGCGAACGGA